GUAGACGGAGCGGUAGAGCGCAUCGCGCUCGUGAGCGCAGUCGAAGCCACCUCACCCGCUAGUAUUCGAAAGGAUGUGGGAGUUCGAGUCUCCCCCUGGGCACCA
rnacentral:tRNA from 1 species